rnacentral:rRNA from 1 species
UGGGGAAUAUUGCACAAUGGGCGAAAGCCUGAUGCAGCAACGCCGCGUGAGUGAUGAAGGCCUUCGGGUUGUAAAGCUCUGUCUUUUGGGACGAUAAUGACGGUACCAAAGGAGGAAGCCACGGCUAACUACGUGCCAGCAGCCGCGGUAAUACGUAGGUGGCAAGCGUUGUCCGGAUUUACUGGGCGUAAAGGAUGCGUAGGCGGAUUUUUAAGUGAGAUGUGAAAACCCUAAGCUUAACUUGGGGACUGCAUUUCAUACUGGAAAUCUAGAGUGCGGGAGAGGAGAAUGGAAUUCCUAGUGUAGCGGUGAAAUGCGUAGAGAUUAGGAAGAACACCAGUGGCGAAGGCGAUUCUCUGGACCGUAACUGACGCUGAGGCAUGAAAGCGUGGGUAGCAAACAGGAUUAGAUACCCUGGUAGUCCACGCCGUAAACGAUGAGUACUAGGUGUAGGAGGUAUCGACCCCUUCUGUGCCGCAGUUAACACAAUAAGUACUCCGCCUGGGAAGUACGAUCGCAAGAUUAAAACUUAAAUGAAUUGACGGGGUCAUAGCUG